GCUCCCCAGGGGCAGGGGAGGCUCUGCGGUCUGAGGGUCCUUCCUGAUGCUUCUACCUCUCAGCUUCAAACCUGGUGAACCAACACUGAAUCUAGUUAAGAUCAGGGGGAACUUUCCAGACGCAUCCGACAGGGAAGGAGAGGAGAGGUUCCCAAGCGGUUGUCUGUCAGCCCCAAACCCGCCUCCUACACUCUGCUCCGUGAUGUGGGGCAGAGGCUGUCGCCCACGGUUCACCUUUGCUAGGGGACUGCUGUUAGGCGCCACCACUGGGAAGCUCUAGAGGAAGGCUGUGAGGCUGGAGGGGGAAGGAGGGGUCGUUCCUUCCUGUCCCUGUCGCGGCUCCCCAGCCUCACUCCUCUUCUCCGGCAGUGGCAGCUGAAUCUGGAAGGCAGUUUCCCACCAUGCGCAGAGCCAGCUUCGUCCUGCCCUGUCUGGGUCUCCCACCCGCAGGGACCCUCCUGCAAACUCGGGCACCUGCGCCAGCUGAACAGCGCCCCCUCCUGGAGGUCUCUAGGUUCGUACACUUUAGCAAUUCCAACCUGUGCCCUUCAUUCUCCCAGCCUUAGGGGUCACUGAUGCCUCCUGCAGUUGCUGCCACUUUGAUAUCUUUCUCUCUUUUAUUUACCUUUCAGUUAUAUUUAUACAACUUUAUACCCUUAUAUAGGUUAUACACCUAUAUAAACAAUUCAUAUUAUUACAUUCUCUUUGUUCAAGUAACUGGUAUGGUUUCUGUCUCCUGAAGGACCCUGGCUGAUUUAAGGACCAAGCCCUCUUCUCCGGCUUCCUGCCUGCACCAAGCCCCACUGAGGAGCAGGGAGGGAGGAAGAAUUCAUUUUAAAUCCAGUUUAAAAUGUUGAUUAUUGCAAGGGUUGCCAAGGCUGGAUUCUCUCCCAUCCUUCCCUCCCUCCCUUCUCUCUCUCUCUCUCCUCUCUCCUCCUUCUCUCUCCCCUCUCUCUCUCCCCUCCCCUCUUUUGUGACUUAAAGAGCAGUUGUGACUAAAGUGACUAUAGGACUUUUUGGGGAAGCAGAAAGGCUAUGGGACUGCCUCAAGUCUCAUCCUGGGGCAAGAAACUAAUGCUCCCUACUGAAGAGUUUUAAAGGAACAAGGGACAAGGUCAAGAUGAAUUCGGAUUUCAUCCCAAGAGUCCUGUUUGUUCAACAUGCCUGUUACAGAAGUUCAAGAUGCUGUCCCCGCCUUCAGAAUUUACAACCUAGUCGGAGAGCUCAAACUCACCCCUCGAGAUGGGUCGUCUCAGCAGGGAUACGGGGUAUAAACAAUCAUCUUGAGGAAGGAACUGCUACUAUCUCUAUUUUAUAGAAGGAAACAGGUGUUGCCCAAGGUCAUGCAGCUGCAAAGAGGCAUGGACCCAGGUCCCUAAAACGUGGGAAAUCUAAUUUGGCAAAAAGAACACUGGAAUAGGAUUCAGAGGCCCGGACCCUGCUGUGCUCCGGCUUCCUGUCCAUCUUGGGAGGGAACUCUGAGGUCAAAGGAGAUAAAGAAACUGAAGCCUAAAGAGGUAUAGUGACUUGCCCAAGCAAAGUCACACAUCUUGUACAUAGAGGAGCUGAUGGGAGAGAUCUGCUUGAAAGGUAGAGAGGGAAUCUGUUCUUGAUACUGAACCCAUCAUCACUUCUGGUAUGUGAAUAAAUCUUGAGAGAGUGGUUUCGAAGUGUGGUCCCUAGACCAGCAGUGUUGGCAUUCCCUGAGAACUUGCUAGAAAUGCAGAUUCUUAGGCCCCAUCCAGGCCUGCUGAGUCAGAAACUCUGCGAGUGGGACCCAGCCCUCUGGCUCAUGCUCUAGUUUGAGAAUCAGAGCU